GACGAACGCUGGCGGCGUGCUUAACACAUGCAAGUCGAACGAAGAGCGAUGGAAGCUUGCUUCUAUCAAUCUUAGUGGCGAACGGGCGAGUAACGCGUAAUCAACCUGCCCUUCAGAGGGGGACAACAGUUGGAAACGACUGCUAAUACCGCAUACGAUCUAAUCUCGGCAUCGAGGAUAGAUGAAAGGUGGCCUCUACAUGUAAGCUAUCACUGAAGGAGGGGAUUGCGUCUGAUUAGCUAGUUGGAGGGGUAACGGCCCACCAAGGCGAUGAUCAGUAGCCGGUCUGAGAGGAUGAACGGCCACAUUGGGACUGAGACACGGCCCAGACUCCUACGGGAGGCAGCAGUGGGGAAUCUUCCGCAAUAGACGAAAGUCUGACGGAGCAACGCCGCGUGAGCGAUGACGGCCUUCGGGUUGUAAAGCUCUGUUAAUCGGGACGAAAGGCCUCCUUGCGAAUAGUGAGAAGGAUUGACGGUACCGGAAUAGAAAGCCACGGCUAACUACGUG
rnacentral:rRNA from 1 species